UGGUGGAGUGAUUUGUCUGGUUAAUUCCGUUAACGAACGAGACCUCGACCUGCUAAAUAGAUCGCACGAAUUCUCCGGAAUUCGUCGAGGCUUCUUAGAGGGACUGUGAGUGCAAACUCAAGGAAGUUCGAGGCAAUAACA
rnacentral:rRNA from 1 species